GUGAACGGAGCCCCCUGCCUGGAGUGUACCGGGCGCCUUAACUGUGCCCUCAUUUCAUCCUGUAAAGUCUCCACGUUCAUGAAGGAAGAAACCCAGGUGCAGAGAGGUUGAGUGAUUCCCUCUGCCCAGGGUCACCUGGCUAAUCACUUGCAGGGCUGGGAUUUGAACCCGGUCCGCUGACUCCAAAGCUGAGUCACACAGAAGGAGGUGAAUACUGUUAUUCACCUACCUUUUACAGAUGGGGAAACUGAGGUUCAGAAAGGCGAAGUGACUUGCCCGAGGUCACACAGUUAAUAAGGAGUGAAAGUGGAAGUGAGAUUCAAACCCGUGAGCAGCCUGAUUCCGGAGCACUGAUGACCCAGACGGCGCCAGUCUCCAUCACUAACAGCUGUUGACCUCACCUGUGUGCAGAGCGCCUUUGCUUCUUCUCAACCUCUUUAAGCAUCACUUAGAAAUAACCAGGUUAUUGAUCCUCACCUCAGAGGCCAUCUGGUGUCGAGGCGACAAGAAUGGAGACCAUGGAGGAGUGGAGUGGACUGGGCUGUGACCUGCCAAGGGGGGAAUGGCCACACAGGUACCCAGGAUUCACCAUCCAGUUCAGUGUAACAACAGAGCUUGCGCAGAUAACCAGGAUGCUGCAGUGGGGCUCUAGGUGGAAAAUCAAAGCUUCAAGGAGAUCAGGGACAUGUGUGUAAGAAUCUUCUCGCAAACCAGGGCAGCAGGGAGGGUCCAGUCAUGGAACCAGGUGCCACCUCACCUGGCUGAGUUCAAGAUUGGCUCUAACCCAAAUCACCUGCAAGACCUUGAGCAACAUACUUAACCCUUCUCUGCUUCAAUUUUAUUUUUGUUACAUUGAUCAAAAGUCAGAAAGGAAAGGAAGUCCUCAUUGAUACAGAGGUUAGGAAAAUUGGAAGAGAUUUUGGAGAGGGUAUCAGGUUUAUCCUACAUUCUUUAUCAGCAUGAAAAAGUCCUCCUUUGGGCUUUUUGUUUGUUUUGAUUUUUGUUUUUUGU